GCCGGCGUAGCUCAGCGGUAGAGCAGCUGAUUCGUAAUCAGCAGGUCAACGGUUCAAAUCCGUUCGCCGGCUCCA
rnacentral:tRNA from 1 species